UACGUAGGGGGCUAGCGUUGUCCGGAUUUAUUGGGCGUAAAGAGCGUGUAGGCGGCCAGGUAGGUCUGCUGUGAAAACUCGAGGCUCAACCUCGAGACGUCGGCGGAAACCAUCUGGCUAGAGUCCGGAAGAGGAGAGUGGAAUUCCCUGGUGUAGCGGUGAAAUGCGCAGAUAUCAGGAAGAACACCCGUGGCUAAGGCGGCUCUCUAGUACGGUACUGACGCUGAGACGCGAAAGCGUGGGGAGCGAACAGG
rnacentral:rRNA from 1 species